rnacentral:rRNA from 1 species
GACGAACGCUGGCGGCGUGCUUAACACAUGCAAGUCGAACGGUGACCCGGAGCUUGCUCCGGUGAUCAGUGGCGAACGGUGAGUAACACGUGGGCAACCUGCCCCUGACUCCGGGAUAACUACUCGAAAGAGCAGCUAAUACCAGAUACGACCACUUCGGGCAUCCGAUGGUGGUGGAAAGUUUUUCGGUCAGGGAUGGGGCCCCGCGGCCUAUCAGCUUGAUGGUGGGGUAGUGGCCUACCAUGGCGACGACGGGUAGCCGGCCUGAGAGGGCGACCGGCCACACUGGGACUGAGACACGGCCCAGACUCCUACGGGAGGCAGCAGUGGGGAAUAUUGCGCAAUGGGCGAAAGCCUGACGCAGCGACGCCGCGUGAGGGAUGACGGCC